UGGGUAGGGGAGCGUUCUGUAAGCCUGUGAAGGUGGCCUGUGAGGGUUGCUGGAGGUAUCAGAAGUGCGAAUGCUGACAUAAGUAACGAUAAAGCGGGUGAAAAGCCCGCUCGCCGGAAGACCAAGGGUUCCUGUCCAACGUUAAUCGGGGCAGGGUGAGUCGACCCCUAAGGCGAGGCCGAAAGGCGUAGUCGAUGGGAAACAGGUUAAUAUUCCUGUACUUGGUGUUACUGCGAAGGGGGGACGGAGAAGGCUAUGUUGGCCGGGCGACGGUUGUCCCGGUUUAAGCGUGUAGGUGUGUGUUCCAGGUAAAUCCGGUUCACUUUAACACUGAGGCGUGACGACGAGGCACUACGGUGCUGAAGCAACAAAUGCCCUGCUUCCAGGAAAAGCCUCUAAGCAUCAGGUAACAUCAAAUCGUACCCCAAACCGACACAGGUGGUCAGGUAGAGAAUACCAAGGCGCUUGAGAGAACUCGGGUGAAGGAACUAGGCAAAAUGGUGCCGUAACUUCGGGAGAAGGCACGCUGACACGUAGGUGAAGUGAUUUACUCACGGAGCUGAAGUCAGUCGAAGAUACCAGCUGGCUGCAACUGUUUAUUAAAAACACAGCACUGUGCAAACACGAAAGUGGACGUAUACGGUGUGACGCCUGCCCGGUGCCGGAAGGUUAAUUGAUGGGGUCAGCGCAAGCGAAGCUCCUGAUCGAAGCCCCGGUAAACGGCGGCCGUAACUAUAACGGUCCUAAGGUAGCGAAAUUCCUUGUCGGGUAAGUUCCGACCUGCACGAAUGGCGUAAUGAUGGCCAGGCUGUCUCCACCCGAGACUCAGUGAAAUUGAACUCGCUGUGAAGAUGCAGUGUACCCGCGGCAAGACGGAAAGACCCCGUGAACCUUUACUAUAGCUUGACACUGAACAUUGAGCCUUGAUGUGUAGGAUAGGUGGGAGGCUUUGAAGUGUGGACGCCAGUCUGCAUGGAGCCGACCUUGAAAUACCACCCUUUAAUGUUUGAUGUUCUAACGUGGACCCGUAAUCCGGGUUGCGGACAGUGUCUGGUGGGUAGUUUGACUGGGGCGGUCUCCUCCUAAAGAGUAACGGAGGAGCACGAAGGUUGGCUAAUCCUGGUCGGACAUCAGGAGGUUAGUGCAAUGGCAUAAGCCAGCUUGACUGCGAGCGUGACGGCGCGAGCAGGUGCGAAAGCAGGUCAUAGUGAUCCGGUGGUUCUGAAUGGAAGGGCCAUCGCUCAACGGAUAAAAGGUACUCCGGGGAUAACAGGCUGAUACCGCCCAAGAGUUCAUAUCGACGGCGGUGUUUGGCACCUCGAUGUCGGCUCAUCACAUCCUGGGGCUGAAGUAGGUCCCAAGGGUAUGGCUGUUCGCCAUUUAAAGUGGUACGCGAGCUGGGUUUAGAACGUCGUGAGACAGUUCGGUCCCUAUCUGCCGUGGGCGCUGGAGAACUGAGGGGGGCUGCUCCUAGUACGAGAGGACCGGAGUGGACGCAUCACUGGUGUUCGGGUUGUCAUGCCAAUGGCACUGCCCGGUAGCUAAAUGCGGAAGAGAUAAGUGCUGAAAGCAUCUAAGCACGAAACUUGCCCCGAGAUGAGUUCU
rnacentral:rRNA from 1 species